rnacentral:misc_RNA from 1 species
UAUCCGUAGGUGAACCUGCGGAUGGAUCAUUAAAAGUAUACCCAUAUACUUACACUCUCAUGAACUGUUUUUUUCUCCUAAACCGUGAGCUUUGCCUGGGGUUUGUGGUGGGUUGAAAGAAGGUAGCGCGGGCGGAGGAGGGAGCGUAGCGGGGAUUAACAGCUUCAGGCGCGACUAACGCUGUUCGUUGUACUUGUAUUUUUGCCGUCACGUCCCCCGGUUUCCUCACAUUUCUAACUACAGUAUUUACUCUUUGUAUUGACUGUGAAUCUGCCCGACGGAAGAUUGUAGAAAGCUGACUUUUACAUGAUCUAUAUAAAUAAAUUUUACGUAAAACUCUCAACAACGGAUAUCUUGGCUCUU